rnacentral:rRNA from 1 species
UACGGAGGGUGCAAGCGUUAUCCGGAUUUAUUGGGUUUAAAGGGUCCGUAGGCGGGUUAAUAAGUCAGUGGUGAAAGCCGGCAGCUCAACUGUCGAACUGCCAUUGAUACUGUUAGUCUUGAAUUCGGUUGAUGUGGGCGGAAUAUGACAUGUAGCGGUGAAAUGCUUAGAUAUGUCAUAGAACACCGAUUGCGAAGGCAGCUCACAAAGCCUGGAUUGACGCUGAUGGACGAAAGCGUGGGGAUCAAACAGG